AUUGAACGCUGGCGGCAGGCCUAACACAUGCAAGUCGAGCGGAGCGGCGGACGGGGGAGUAAUGCCUAGGAAUAUGCCUGGUAGUGGGGGAUAAGGAUCGGAAACGGGAGCUCAUACCGCAUACUAUAAGAGGAGGCUAGGGCGGAUUGGCUAGUGUGUGGGGUAAAGGCCUACCAGGGCGACGAUCCGGAACUGGUCUGAGAGGAUGUUCAGUCACACGGGAACUGCGACACGGUCCAUGCGCCUACGGGAGGCAGCUGUGGGGAAUAUUGGACAAUGGGCGGAAGGCUGAUCCAGCCAUGCCUCGUGUGGUAAGAAGGUCUUCGGAUUGUAAAGCUCUUUAAGUUGGGAGGCGUUACCAACAGAAUAAUCACCGGCUAACUUCGUGCCAGCAGCCGCGGUAAUAC
rnacentral:rRNA from 1 species